ACGCGCUUCUUCAGUGGUGUAUAAAUCCUGUGCGCGACAUUCCCCAGUCUUUCCUGUUCUUCAUGGCGAUGUUGUAUGACACUCCUCUCCACAGGCGCUCCGCUGUGACUGUUUAAGGCUUGUUCUUCCUUAAAAGUGCCAUGAUGGUGCUUUUGUCCACCCCUUCUCCAGGCUGAAUCCUGUGGAUCACCGGAUCACUGUGUGCGAGUGCACUGCUGAUAUGUCGAGUUCCUUAGACACAUGGUCGUGACCUGCUGAAUUGAGUGCAGGCAGAAGGCAUUCCUGGUCUUUCUUAAGAGCUGUGGUUCAGCAUGGUGCUGUGCGGUAGGUGCAAGAGGAAUGAGGUUAAUGUUGGGGAAGGCUGUUCAUUUUGUGCAAGAUCACGGAAGACCGACUUGAUGCUUUCCGUGUUUGUUAAAGACCUGACCCGUUGAAGAAUAAAGUGGAAUUUCAGUGUUCAUGAAUGUCUGUGUUCAUUUGAAAUUAUUUUGUAGCCUGCGUUCUAUUCAGUUUAUUUUUUCGGAGCAGUGUUUCGCAUUCCUGCUUCUGCAGUAUCCCUGCCCUGUACAUUUGGAGUGGGGGGGGGGGGGUGGAGUCUGUAAGGGCAAUAUGAGGAAUAUCAGUUUUCAAAUACACUUCUACGAUAUGCCUCAUGAUGUAUAGGGUUGCUCACAAACUGCUGCCAAAUACAGUGGUGUUACUCUUAAUAUAAAUUUGAAUAAAUAUUUUUAUUUAGGGGGAGAAAUUAACACAAGUUUAAGAAUUUAGAGUACAUUUUAAUGGUAAGUGACCCUUAGCUUGUAUCUUUAAACAUCUGUUUAUUUGGAGCAGGUGUGUUCUCUAAUUUUUAUACAUGUAAUGUAAAAAUUUGUUAAUAUAAAGCUUAUGACCUAAAUCCUUAUUUUCUGACUGAAAUGGACAGUAAAUGUGUUUUCUUUAAUUUUCCAAAUAUGUAAAAGCUGUCACUUUAUAGAGUUGAACAGUGCAUACUGCACACAUUUUAGGCUUGUAUGUUAAAAUAACCUGUUGCUAUAUAACAUGCAUUAUUGCAUCUCGAAAUAAAGGUUGGUUCCUCCA